rnacentral:lncRNA from 1 species
UUGUGUGAUAAAAGCAGGUUAUAAACUAUAAAGUAUGAAUUCAUCUCAUAAAAUAUAUAUUUUCACAAAUAGUAAAUGUAUAACAAUAUGUACAUAUAUAAGUCUAUAUAAAUAUCUAAAAAGGUAUAAUCAAAAUUGUUACUUAGGGUUGUCUCUGUUGGAAUGGGGAAGUAUUAUGAGUAACUUGAAUUUUCUCUUACGUGUGUUUGAAGGGGGGUUCUUUAUUUUUUUGAUCUUUAUGUCAUGUGUAAUAAAUUCUGGUUACUGAAAAAAUUUGGGAGGCUGAGUCGGGUGGAUCACGAGGUCAGGAGAUCGAGACCAUCCUGGCUAACACGGUGAAACUCCACCUCUACUUAAAAAUACAAAAAAUUAGCUGGGUGUAGUGGCGGGCUCCUGUAAUCCCAUCUACUUGGGAGGCUGAGGAAAAAUGAGAAUUAUUUUUUAAGUGUGCUUUUUUUAAAAAAAAAACAGAUAGAGUGUUAAGCAUUUUUAAUGAAAUUAUGCUUUAUCCAGCAGUCAUUUGAAAUGAUGGCUGUGAAGUGCAAUAAUUUGGGCAAAUACUUAAAGAGAGAAUGUUGAGUGAGUAAAAUAGAGAUUAAGAUUGUAUGCUUUCUGGAUUGGAGCUAUGAAAAAUUACAAUUAAAUGUAUUAAUAUUAAAAUGCUGUCUAUGGCUGUGUUAUUAGCAGUGAUAUAGGGCUAUAUUUUUUUUUGUCUUCUUUGACAACUUUUGGUGAUGUGGCUAUUUUUUCAUAUCUACGUGAGAGAUUGAUAUAAUCCCCUAUGGCUCCGAGAGGUGACAUAACAUGCU